rnacentral:rRNA from 1 species
AGCGUACACGGUGGAUGCCCUGGCAGUCAGAGGCGAUGAAGGACGUGCUAAUCUGCGAUAAGCGUCGGUAAGGUGAUAUGAACCGUUAUAACCGGCGAUUUCCGAAUGGGGAAACCCAGUGUGAUUCGUCACACUAUCAUUAACUGAAUCCAUAGGUUAAUGAGGCGAACCGGGGGAACUGAAACAUCUAAGUACCCCGAGGAAAAGAAAUCAACCGAGAUUCCCCCAGUAGCGGCGAGCGAACGGGGAGGAGCCCAGAGCCUGAAUCAGUGUGUGUGUUAGUGGAAGCGUCUGGAAAGGCGCGCGAUACAGGGUGACAGCCCCGUACACAAAAAUGCACAUACUGUGAGCUCGAUGAGUAGGGCGGGACACGUGGUAUCCUGUCUGAAUAUGGGGGGACCAUCCUCCAAGGCUAAAUACUCCUGACUGACCGAUAGUGAACCAGUACCGUGAGGGAAAGGCGAAAAGAACCCCGGCGAGGGGAGUGAAAAAGAACCUGAAACCGUGUACGUACAAGCAGUGGGAGCCUCUUUAUGGGGUGACUGCGUACCUUUUGUAUAAUGGGUCAGCGACUUAUAUUCUGUAGCAAGGUUAACCGAAUAGGGGAGCCGAAGGGAAACCGAGUCUUAACUGGGCGUUAAGUUGCAGGGUAUAGACCCGAAACCCGGUGAUCUAGCCAUGGGCAGGUUGAAGGUUGGGUAACACUAACUGGAGGACCGAACCGACUAAUGUUGAAAAAUUAGCGGAUGACUUGUGGCUGGGGGUGAAAGGCCAAUCAAACCGGGAGAUAGCUGGUUCUCCCCGAAAGCUAUUUAGGUAGCGCCUCGUGAAUUCAUCUCCGGGGGUAGAGCACUGUUUCGGCAAGGGGGUCAUCCCGACUUACCAACCCGAUGCAAACUGCGAAUACCGGAGAAUGUUAUCACGGGAGACACACGGCGGGUGCUAACGUCCGUCGUGAAGAGGGAAACAACCCAGACCGCCAGCUAAGGUCCCAAAGUCAUGGUUAAGUGGGAAACGAUGUGGGAAGGCCCAGACAGCCAGGAUGUUGGCUUAGAAGCAGCCAUCAUUUAAAGAAAGCGUAAUAGCUCACUGGUCGAGUCGGCCUGCGCGGAAGAUGUAACGGGGCUAAACCAUGCACCGAAGCUGCGGCAGCGACACUAUGUGUUGUUGGGUAGGGGAGCGUUCUGUAAGCCUGCGAAGGUGGCCUGUGAGGGUUGCUGGAGGUAUCAGAAGUGCGAAUGCUGACAUAAGUAACGAUAAAGCGGGUGAAAAGCCCGCUCGCCGGAAGACCAAGGGUUCCUGUCCAACGUUAAUCGGGGCAGGGUGAGUCGACCCCUAAGGCGAGGCCGAAAGGCGUAGUCGAUGGGAAACAGGUUAAUAUUCCUGUACUUGGUGUUACUGCGAAGGGGGGACGGAGAAGGCUAUGUUGGCCGGGCGACGGUUGUCCCGGUUUAAGCGUGUAGGCUGGUUUUCCAGGCAAAUCCGGAAAAUCAAGGCUGAGGCGUGAUGACGAGGCACUACGGUGCUGAAGCAACAAAUGCCCUGCUUCCAGGAAAAGCCUCUAAGCAUCAGGUAACAUCAAAUCGUACCCCAAACCGACACAGGUGGUCAGGUAGAGAAUACCAAGGCGCUUGAGAGAACUCGGGUGAAGGAACUAGGCAAAAUGGUGCCGUAACUUCGGGAGAAGGCACGCUGAUAUGUAGGUGAAGUCCCUCGCGGAUGGAGCUGAAAUCAGUCGAAGAUACCAGCUGGCUGCAACUGUUUAUUAAAAACACAGCACUGUGCAAACACGAAAGUGGACGUAUACGGUGUGACGCCUGCCCGGUGCCGGAAGGUUAAUUGAUGGGGUUAGCGGUAACGCGAAGCUCUUGAUCGAAGCCCCGGUAAACGGCGGCCGUAACUAUAACGGUCCUAAGGUAGCGAAAUUCCUUGUCGGGUAAGUUCCGACCUGCACGAAUGGCGUAAUGAUGGCCAGGCUGUCUCCACCCGAGACUCAGUGAAAUUGAACUCGCUGUGAAGAUGCAGUGUACCCGCGGCAAGACGGAAAGACCCCGUGAACCUUUACUAUAGCUUGACACUGAACAUUGAGCCUUGAUGUGUAGGAUAGGUGGGAGGCUUUGAAGUGUGGACGCCAGUCUGCAUGGAGCCGACCUUGAAAUACCACCCUUUAAUGUUUGAUGUUCUAACGUUGGCCCCUGAUCGGGGUUGCGGACAGUGUCUGGUGGGUAGUUUGACUGGGGCGGUCUCCUCCUAAAGAGUAACGGAGGAGCACGAAGGUUGGCUAAUCCUGGUCGGACAUCAGGAGGUUAGUGCAAUGGCAUAAGCCAGCUUGACUGCGAGCGUGACGGCGCGAGCAGGUGCGAAAGCAGGUCAUAGUGAUCCGGUGGUUCUGAAUGGAAGGGCCAUCGCUCAACGGAUAAAAGGUACUCCGGGGAUAACAGGCUGAUACCGCCCAAGAGUUCAUAUCGACGGCGGUGUUUGGCACCUCGAUGUCGGCUCAUCACAUCCUGGGGCUGAAGUAGGUCCCAAGGGUAUGGCUGUUCGCCAUUUAAAGUGGUACGCGAGCUGGGUUUAGAACGUCGUGAGACAGUUCGGUCCCUAUCUGCCGUGGGCGCUGGAGAACUGAGGGGGGCUGCUCCUAGUACGAGAGGACCGGAGUGGACGCAUCACUGGUGUUCGGGUUGUCAUGCCAAUGGCACUGCCCGGUAGCUAAAUGCGGAAGAGAUAAGUGCUGAAAGCAUCUAAGCACGAAACUUGCCCCGAGAUGAGUUCUCCCUGACUCCUUGA